GCUGUUUUAGUUUAAUAGGUAAAAAUUUCUAAUUUGUAAUUAGAGGAUAGUUUCAGUU
rnacentral:tRNA from 1 species